GCUGGGUGUGGUCACACACACCUGUAAUCCCAUCAACUCGUGAGGUUGAGGCAGAAGAAUUGCAAGUUCAUGGCGAGCCUAAGCAAUUUAGUGAGACUCUGUCUCAA
rnacentral:sRNA from 1 species